GUGCCUGCUUUGGCAACACAUAUACUAAACAUUGAAAUGAUACGAAGAAGAUUAGCAUGGCCCCUGAACAAGGAUGACAUGCAAAUUCAUGAAGUGUCCCAUAUUUUU
ensembl:snRNA U6 U6 spliceosomal RNA